rnacentral:rRNA from 1 species
UACGUAGGGUGCGAGCGUUUAAUCGGAAUACUGGGCGUAAAGCGUGCGCAGGCGGUUCUCCAAGUCCGUUGUGAAAUCCCCGGGCUCAACCUGGGGACUGCAUUUGUGACUGCAAGGCUAGAGUACGGUAGAGGGGGAUGGAAUUCCGCGUGUAGCAGUGAAAUGCGUAGAUAUGCGGAGGAACACCGAUGGCGAAGGCAAUCCCCUGGACCUGUACUGACGCUCAUGCACGAAAGCGUGGGGAGCAAACAGG